rnacentral:misc_RNA from 1 species
GAUGAAGAACGUAGUGAAAUGCGAUACUUGGUGUGAAUUGCAGAAUCCCGUGAACCAUCGAGUCUUUGAACGCAAGUUGCGCCCGAAGCCAUCAGGUUGAGGGCACGUCUGCCUGGGCGUCACAUAUCGUUGCCCAAUGCCUAUUGCAGUGCAAUAGGAAUUUCUAGGGCGAAUGAUGGCUUCCCGUGAGCGUUGUUGCCUCGCGGUUGGUUGAAAAUCGAGUCCUUGGUAGGGUGUGCCAUGGUAGAUGGUGGUCGAGUUAGAACGAUACCGAUCAUGUGCAUGCUCCCCAAAAUAUGGCCUCUAUGACCCACACGCGUCUUUUGACGCUCAUGACGAGACCUCAGGUCAGGCGGGGCUACCCGCUGAAUUUAAGCAUAUUAAUAAGCGGAGGA